AUUUAAUGCUCUUUUCAGUCUUGUUAUUUAUUUUCUUUAAUACUACAUUUCCAGCUGUAGAGCCAGAUGAGUCACACUCACUGCCAUCCACAACAGCACUCUCCAAGGCCUGUGAAACAAUAAGAUUUGAGAGUUGUGGUGGAAUUAAAGGCACUUGCUCAGAGCUUGCUAGCAUGUCAGUGGCAGCAGCUGUAUUAAAAUGAAUCUAUUUCGGACCCCAGAGAGCGUAAAUGAACUAUUAUGUCUGAAUGAGUAUACAGCAGCUGCCAAUAAAAUGGCCAGGAGAAUGUUCUUCAUUUGAAGAAAAAAAAUGGGCAUCUUUCUGCCAGUACUGCUCUCAGUUUACUGUACAACAAGUUUCCUGGCCAUGCUGAUACCUUACCGGGGAGGAAGACCAAAGUGGAGGUGGGAUCAGUGCUGCACUUCAUGAAGAAUUCUUUCAGUUUACCCAGUUCACCAGAAUUGCUCAUCAUUCCUAUGACAGAGAAUCCAUGCUUGCUUACCCAACACCAGCGAUCCUUUGUUUAUAAAGGCUCAUGAUUCAGACAGUGAAAACAACAGCUGUCUUUUUCAUACAGCAAGAUGACAGAAACAUUCUCAAUGCAAAGAACAAUCAGUACUGGGAGGUACUGACAGAACAAGAGGAAAAAUAAGAUAUAUGUUGUUCUACAGCUCUGAAGACGUGAACUCAAUUCCUUGAGGGUUUUUUUGUGUGUGAGAUACUGGAUGGGGGAAAAUUGUCUCCCAUCUGUAAAAUGGAGCUUAUUUGCUCACAGCAGAAUACCAGGGAUGAAAUAACUAAAAUCAGUGCAAAACUGUAACACACAUCUAUAUCACUAGCUCAUAAACAUAAUGAGACUUCAAAGGUAAAUGUAACAAUAUUGAUUCAAAAUCAAAUGAAUAGUAUAUGGUUUCCACUGGAGAAAAGAAGAUUUUCUUUUAGCAUUGAUAAUGUAUUCAGAACCCAAAUAAACAGUUCAAUAUAUUUGAACAGUAUGUUUAUGCGUGCACGUACACACACACAAAAAUUCUGCUAUGAAUCAACGUUGGGGAAAUUGCUACAGACUGCAAAUGGAAGGAGGUCUUUCCCUUUGUAAUUAGGUAUUAUUUUAACUUGUGAUAACUUUAAUAACUUAGCUAAAACUUAUUUUUCUUAAUACAAGAUAGUAAUUCCCCCAUCUAUCACCAAAUACAAAGGUUAUUUCCCAGAAGAUACAGAGCCCCAA